GUUUGAUCAUGGCUCAGAUUGAACGCUGGCGGUAGGCUUAACACAUGCAAGUCGAGCGGAAACGAUCUAGCUUGCUAGAGGCGUCGAGCGGCGGACGGGUGAGUAACGCGUAGGAAUCUACCCAGUAGUUGGGGAUAGCCCGGAGAAAUCCGGAUUAAUACCGAAUAAUCUCUACGGAGGAAAGUGGGCUUCGGCUCACGCUACAGGAUGAGCCUGCGUUGGAUUAGCUAGUUGGUGAGGUAAGAGCUCACCAAGGCGACGAUCCAUAGCUGGUCUGAGAGGAUGAUCAGCCACACUGGGACUGAGACACGGCCCAGACUCCUACGGGAGGCAGCAGUGGGAAUAUUGGACAAUGGGGGCAA
rnacentral:rRNA from 1 species